UGCGUAGGCGGUCCCGCAAGUCCGCUGUGAAAUCCCCGGGCUUAACCUGGGAAUGGCAGUGGAAACUAGGGGACUUGAAUCUGGCAGAGGGGGUGGAAUGGCCACGUGUAGCAGUGAAAUGCGUAGAGAUGUGGCGGAACACCGAUGGCGAAGGCAGCCCCCUGGGCUGAGAUUGACGCUCAGGCACGAAAGCGUGGGGAGCAAACAGGAUUAGAUACCCUGGUAGUCCACGCCCUAAACGAUGAUCACUAGGUGUUGGGAAGCGAUUUCUCAGUACCGCAGCUAACGCGCGAAGUGAGUCCGCCUGGGGAGUACGGUCGCAAGAUUAAA
rnacentral:rRNA from 1 species